UCAGUAACACGUAGUCAACAUGCCCAGGGGACGUGGAUAACCUCGGGAGACUGAGGAUAAACCGCGAUAGGCCAUGAUUUCUGGAAUGGUUCAUGGCCGAAACCUAUAUGGCCCCUGGAUUGGACUGCGGCCGAUCAGGCUGUUGGUGAGGUAAUGGCCCACCAAACCUGUAACCGGUACGGGCUCUGAGAGGAGGAGCCCGGAGAUGGGCACUGAGACAAGGGCCCAGGCCCUAUGGGGCGCAGCAGGCGCGAAAUCUCUGCAAUAGGCGAAAGCUUGACAGGGUUACUCUGAGUGGUUCCCGUUAAGGGGAUCUUUUGGCACCUUUAAAACAUGGUGCAGAAUAAGGGGUGGGCAAGUCUGGUGCCAGCC
rnacentral:rRNA from 1 species